rnacentral:sRNA from 1 species
CACUACGGAGAGCGAAGGGGACUCCCCGCGGAUCCGCUAUACUUGCGUCCGCUAGAGUAUAUCAAUCGCUUGCCCCAGCACAGCUGUCAUUCUUCUCUACAGAAGAGCUUCUCCUCAUCAACUGGGGAUGAUUACAGUUCUUCCUUAAAAAGCCUACUUGAUGUGAAGACAAUGAGGAUGAAGACCUUUAUGGUGAUCCACUUCCACUUAAUAGAUGGCUGCUCUUUUUCUAAAGAGGUUAACACUACAAACUGUAAAGUCUGAAAAUAGUUGCAUUAGAUGUUUUGGUAAACACAUCCUGCAAAAGACAGCACCAGCACAGUUGUCCCCUAUUGCUUCUGCCCCAAGACUCUCCUUCCUAAUUCAUGCAAAAGCCUUUAGUACCGCUGAAGACACCCAGAAUGAAGGAAAAAAGACAAAAAAGAAUAAAACAGCUUUUAGUAACGUUGGAAGAAAAAUUAGUCAGCGAGUUAUUCACUUAUUUGAUGAGAAGGGCAAUGAUUUGGGAAACAUGCACCGAGCAAAUGUGAUUAGACUUAUGGAUGAGCGAGACCUGCGACUGGUUCAAAGGAACACCAGCACAGAACCUGCAGAGUAUCAGCUCAUGACAGGAUUGCAGAUCCUCCAGGAGCGGCAGAGGCUGAGGGAGAUGGAGAAGGCGAACCCCAAAACUGGACCAACCCUGAGAAAGGAACUGAUUUUGUCUUCAAAUAUUGGACAACAUGAUUUGGACACAAAGACUAAACAGAUUCAGCAGUGGAUUAAGAAAAAACACCUAGUCCAGAUUACCAUAAAGAA